AUUGAACGCUGGCGGCAGGCUUAACACAUGCAAGUCGAACGGCAGCGCAGUAAGAGCUUGCUCUUACGGGUGGCGAGUGGCGGACGGGUGAGGAAUACAUCGGAAUCUACUUUUUCGUGGGGGAUAACGUAGGGAAACUUACGCUAAUACCGCAUACGACCUACGGGGGAAAGCAGGGGAUCUUCGGACCUUGCGCGAUUGAAUGAGCCGAUGUCGGAUUAGCUAGUUGGCGGGGUAAAGGCCCACCAAGGCGACGAUCCGUAGCUGGUCUGAGAGGACGAUCAGCCACACUGGAACUGAGACACGGUCCAGACUCCUACGGGAGGCAGCAGUGGGGAAUAUUGGACAAUGGGGGCAAGCCUGAUCCAGCCAUACCGCGUGGGUGAAGAAGGCCUUCGGGUUGUAAAGCGCUUUUGUUGGGGAAGAAAAGCAGUAGGCUAAUACCCCGCGGGUCUGACGGUACCGGAAGAAUAAGCACCGGCUAACUACGUG
rnacentral:rRNA from 1 species